UACAGAGGGUGCAAGCGUUAAUCGGAAUUACUGGGCGUAAAGCGCGCGGAGGCCGUCGAGUAAGUCGGAUGUGAAAUCCCCGGGCUUAACCUGGGAAUUGCAUUCGAGACUGCUUGGCUGGAGUGUGGAAGAGGGAAGCGGAAUUUCCGGUGUAGCGGUGAAAUGCGUAGAUAUCGGAAGGAACACCAGUGGCGAAGGCGGCUUCCUGGUCCAACACUGACGCUGAGGCGCGAAAGCGUGGGGAGCGAACAGG
rnacentral:rRNA from 1 species